rnacentral:rRNA from 1 species
UGGGGAAUAUUGGACAAUGGGCGAAAGCCUGAUCCAGCCAUGCCGCGUGUGUGAAGAAUGUCUUCGGUUUGUAAAGCACUUUAAGUUGGGAGGAAGGGCAGUAAGCGAAUACCUUGCUGUUUUGACGUUACCGACAGAAUAAGCACCGGCUAACUCUGUGCCAGCAGCCGCGGUAAUACAGUGGGUGCAAGCGUUAAUCGGAAUUACUGGGCGUAAAGCGCGCGUAGGUGGUUCGUUAAGUUGAAUGUGAAAGCCCCGGGCUCAACCUGGGAACUGCAUCCAAAACUGGCGAGGUAGAGGAGGGCAGAGGGUGGUGGAAUUUCCGGUGUAGCGGUGAAAUGCGGAGAAAUAGGAAGGAAAACCAGUGGCGAAGGCGACCACCUGGGCUCAUACUGACACUGAGGUGCGAAAGCGUGGGGAGCAAACAGG